GAUCCAGGCAGGAGGAACAUGUUCAGUCAAUCGCUCUGGAACAAACAGUGAUGCCCAAAGGAGCUGUGAAUGACAGAGCCAUCAGCACACCAAAAGGUGUCAACGUCAAUUUAACUUUUGAUGAAGGAUUCAGCGCAAUCUUCAGUGACAAAGGAACAAGUCUUGUCGGGGAGACCAGUCUUCUUCACGUGAGGUCAAAUGAGCAGCAGUAAGUACACUCACUACUUAUUUAAUGGCUUCCACACUGUCCAGUUGUAGUUCUUCAAACACUUUUGAAUGUAGUUUAAAAUGGUAUAUUAAACAUUUGUAAAGCCAUCCUUAAAAGGAAAAUAUGAAUAUGUCUACUACUACUCUAGUGACUGAGUCGGGCUAACGCACAUUUUGACGGCAUCACCUAGAUCAUCGGGU